GCAGUAGCCACGGUAAUACAGAGGCCUCAAGCGUUGUUCGGAUUCAUUGGGCGUAAAGGGAGCGUAGGCGGUCGGGUAAGUUGGAUGUGAAAUCCUGGGGCUCAACCUCAGAACUGCAUUCAAUACUGCUUGGCUAGAGUAUUGGAGAGGUGAGUGGAAUUCACGGUGUAGCAGUGAAAUGCGUAGAUAUCGUGAGGAAGACCAGCGGCGAAGGCGGCUCACUGGACAAUUACUGACGCUGAUGCUCGAAGGCCAGGGGAGCAAACGGGAUUAGAUACCCCAGUAGUCCCUGUCUCUUAUAC
rnacentral:rRNA from 1 species